AUGUGUGUGUAUGUGUUUGAGCAGGGACUUGACUUGACUAAGCCAAACUGGACGCUGCGCGUGGUCAGCGACAAGGGCAAAGCAGAGAGCAUCAAGGUGACAGACACCGAGAGAAUGGACCAAAUUAAAGCGUUUAAGAAAGCCUGGGAAAUGGCUGAAGCAGGCCGAUGUAACAAGGCUUUACAGUCUCGUCUCAAGUUUCUUAACCAAGUCCAACACGGAGCAAGUGAUGACUCUACCACAGACGGCGCAGAAAGCAGAGAGCUCGUCCCCCUAAUCAGAAACUGACAGAUA
rnacentral:lncRNA from 1 species